rnacentral:lncRNA from 1 species
GAGCUUAGCUUCUAAGCCACAUGGAGAUUCUCCAACACUCAGUGUUAUCUUGUUUUGCAGCCUCUUGUCCUUCCUCUCAUUGCCUCAGAUCCUCAAAGGACACUGCAAGCAAUUUAGAAAUUCCACUCUUUGAGCUGCUUCUGCGCCCUCCAAUGUUACUGUUCCAGCCACGACCUGUGCAACAACUCAGAAAAUCCAUGCACACAAAGGUCCUGGAAAUCCUUUUUCCUGUGUACCAGCUCUGUCCUGGCUGCCAUGAUGUCCAGAAUCAUUCAAAACAUUUCUCUCUCGUGGUCAUUUCGACUUUGGGGAAGAGCCAGCCUGGUAAGUAAGGAGGAUGAGGACGCAAUGUCCACCCUGCGUUGUGAGGGAGACGUGUGUCUGGGGGGAGGGUUUGGGGCGGUCCAUGGUGUCUUUUACUGUAAUAAACUUUUAAACACACUCCCCUCACUUGUGGUCACCCCUGUAUGAGGCCUGGCUAGUCUGGGGGUCCCCACAGCCCACAGCCCGGGCAGCCCCUCUGCAGGCCUCCCUGGGUCUGGCAUGGCCAGCGCUGUCCCUCACCAGACCCUGUCCCCACAAUGCCCCAGGAAGCCCCACGGGUGUCGUGACAUCAGAAGAGCAUAACUCGGCCCCCACACUGUGUCCCCUCCUCCUGGGACCCUGCGUGUCCCUGGACCCCCUACUCCCCAGGCGCGGGUGCAUGGGCUCAUCCUCCUGAGAGCGGCACCGCCUCGUUCCCAGCGGCAAACCUGGGCACCUGGAGGUGGACCACAGCGCUGUGCGGACUGGGGCGCGGGGAGCACGGGGCGGAAGGCAGUGGCCCCGGGACAAAGGGCCCCGCGGAAGGCGCUUCAGGGCUGGGCCAAGCGCUGCAGAGCUGCAGGGGCCCGAGUCGCCAGGCGAAAGCAGAAAGACUAAGGCUGCCUCACUUUCCCCAGGAGGAGGGAAGACUGAAGUCAGACUCAGUGCUCGCGUGGACGGAACCCGGACCCACGGUCUGCACCGUCCAGGCUAGAGGGGAGGCACAAAUCGUAGUGGCUGCUUUCGCGCGAGUGCAGACCCAGGAUUUCUGCUCUCCUUGACUGUCAACUUCGGCUGUGGGCUAUGCGUUGGCCACACUGCUUUCCAACCGGCUGGAGCUGCCUGUACUUAACUUAGGCUUUUUUCGCAAUUUUAAC